AUGGUAGAACAACGGCAGCUUUUAUUCACUUGAGUAAAAGAGGAAAGUCCGGGCUGCAGUGAGACAGGGUUCCAUCUAACUGAUGGCCGUGGUAACAUGAGGGAAAGUGCAACAGAAAAUGUACCGCCUAGUUCAAGACGUAAAAGUUUUUUAAAUCUUUUACAUCUUGAACUAGGUAAGGGUGAAAAGGUGGGGUAAGAGCCCACCAGUCCUUUCAGUAAUGCUAGGAGCUUGAAAACCCAACCCGCAGCAAGAAGCAAAUGGUUACAGUCUCACAAUGUAAUGCUUCGCUAGAGGUUUAUAGUAAUAUAAACAGUAGAUGAAUUGUCGUUUAAAAACAGAACUCGGCUUAGUGUUCUGCCAUACUC
rnacentral:RNase_P_RNA from 1 species